GGCCAGCCCGACUUGCGGUUGGGUAUAGAGAUUCCAUGCUGUGCUGCUCUCUCUGUCUCUUUCUCUGCGAUACAGCGAGGCGCAGUGUGUCCGUGUUUUGUUUUUUUCCAAACUUUGUGUCGAGUCACGAAAGACCAAUUUACUAAAAGUUUUUGGCAUCUCAUUUCGAUCGUGUGUACAGCGCCAUUGUCGCCGUCUUCUCUUCGCUUAAUGAUGAGGAGAAAAUACCGCGGAUUCAGUCCAACAGGUUCUUGGUUGUUGCGAUGCUCUACAAGUUGCCGAUAGGUCCGAUCAAAGAGACACACGCAAAUGGGAAAAGAACAACAGACAAUGGGAACGGCUCUUUUAUGUUCUUCACAAGCGGCUGCUCUUGUGCUACCAUGUCCCACUUGACUGUUUAGUCUAUACACAAUCGUUAUAUUCAAGUCUUUCAUACAUAUACUACAUUCAUCAAUGAUUUAAAAAUAAAAGGCUGUUCAAUGCUA